CUAUAAAUGUAAACAUAAGCAUAAAUAAUAUAACUAAUAAUAAAUAAUGUAGAUAAUAAUAAUAAGCAGUAUUGACUGCUUUCUCUUCCCUUUUCCAUCUUACUCCCCCACUCCUGUACUAGAAUUUACCAGAAUCAACUUCCUACAAACUACUUGUUCUAGAAUCCUUGCCUUGGGGUUUGCUUCAGAGAGAAUCCAAAUAAGACAGAAGGAUUCAUCCUGGUCAAUAGGAUGGUAAGUCCCAGGAGAGGCUAUAGGCCCUGGAGAGGGUAUAUUGGCAAGGGAUUUAUGGUCAGAGGGUUCUUUCCAGAGCCUACUAAAUUUUUCCCCAGAGAUGGGCCACAUGUAGAACCUGGGUGCCUUUGCAAAUGCUGUUCUAUUACCAACCGAGAGCCUUACUUUAGCCCAACCCCAAGGUAGGCUCCAAAAAGCAGACUCAUUUUAGUGACAUCUCCAGUGUCAAAUAUGAUGCUCUUGGUUUUGUCCCAUGAAAGAGGGACAAAUAUAAAGUUUGUGUCAAAUAUAAAGUUUGCUUCAGGAGUUCCCAUCAUGGUUACAAAUCUGACUGGCAUGCAUGAGGAUGAGGUGAGGUUUGAUCCCUAGCUUGGUGGGUUAAGGACCUGGUGUUGACAUGAGCUGUGGUGUAGGUUGCAGACAUGGCUCAAAUCCCGCAUUGCUAUGGUUGUGGUAUAGGCUGGUGGCUACAGCUCCAAUUCAACCCCUGCCACAGGUGAGGCCCUAAAAAGACCAAAAUAAUAAUAAUAAUAAUGAUAAGUUUGCUUCAAGGAGUCUCAUCUGCAUUUGGCCAGGCCUACAAACCUGAAAACUAUCUCAGAGCUUAUGUUUCUUCUGUCCUCACAGAGCAAUUGAUAUGUGGGUGGGAGCACACAAAGGUGGUAGUGGCCACAGCCUGGGCCUCCUCUAGCACUCAUCCCCGGGCACUUCGGAAAAAAAAAAAACCUCUAGAGAUGAUGAAGGGUUUUAAAAAUAAAAGCUGUUGAGGCAGCCUGCAGCGUCCUAUCCCUGGAGCUUCCUCCUCCCUACCCCUGGCUCUCAGCACAUGGCAGGACCCUAGGGCCCUGUUCUCUGGUCUCCUCAGCCACCUUGGGUCCAAGGGCUCUGCUCCAAGGUCCAGCUUGGCCAAGAGUGGUCAUCAGAGCAGAGGGAGGCAGGAUGACCCACAUACUCAGAGUCAAGGCCACAGUUUAUUGAUGCAGGGUCAAGGUUAUUCUCUAAAUAAACUUCCCUGCUUCAAAAACUUUUAGUGGCAGGUGGUGGCUCAACAGAGACUCAAUUAUAGAGGCCUCAGUGUGAAGUGUGGUGUUGUCCUCAGCAGCUCUUUGAGAGCCCUUUGUCCCAGGCAGUCCUUUCUCUGAAGGACAGCUGAUCAGGGCAAACCUCUGAGUAUCCAGGGCAGGGAUCCAGCUGCAUCUUCCCCAGACAUGUCCCUGGGAAGUGCUGCCCUUACACCUGGGCAGCUGGGGCCUCUGACCUGAUCCAUUGCUUCAGAGCAGAGAUCUCAAACUAUCUGUGAUGAACAACCAGAUUUAAAAUUUUCCAACCAGGAGUCCCCAUUGUGGUGCAGUGGAAACAAAUCCGACUAGUAGCCAUGAGGAUGUGGGUUCAAUCCCUGGCUUUGCUCAGUGGCUUAAGGAUGGGGUGUUGCUGUGAGCUGUGGUGUAGGUCGCAGACACUGCUUGGAUCCUGUGUUGCUGUGGCUAUAGUGUAGCCUGGCAGGUGUAGCUCUGAUUCAACCCGUAGCCUGGGAAGUUUCAUGUGCUAAGCACAGCUCUAAAAAGAAAAAAAAAGAAAAGAAAAGAAAAGAAAAGAAAAAAGAAAAAAAAUUCCAACCAGUUGUAGACCAAUGAUUUUGUAAAAUGUGGUAAAAAUGAAUUACUAGAAAAAUGAAAUGUUAAGAAACAUGUGAAAUAAGGUCCAAAUGUUUACUAUUCUUAUUUGACUCAAAAUACAUAAAAUUAGGUGAUCAAAUUGCUAUCAAGUUCCUAAAUGUUUACUCAGUUUCUGUGCUAACCUUGUUAUGGGCCCAUGAGAAACCGGUCUUGGGCUGGCACACUUUGUGGACCACACAGAGAGCAGUCUGGCUUUAAAGGACCUUCUCAUCCCUCCCCUGCCCUGUGCUAAGGAGAGCCUCCCACGAGGAGUUCAUGACACCAGUCACCUCCUCUACCUCAGGCCACACUCAGGGUGAGCAGGACUCUAGUCUGCCAUUUAAAUAGCCUUAUACUGCUUCUCUCUGCUGUGUGGGCAUCUUCUCUGGAUCUGUCCUCCCAAGGCUAGUCCAUGCCUUCAGUGAGCACCCCCAAGGAACGGGUCAUGGACAGAGCUUGGACUUGAAGGCUCAUCCAUCCACACGUGUGCACGCGGGACUCUGUGUGGUACAGGCUGGAGCUAUGGGUGUAACAGAUGCCCAGAACUACUGUGCCUCCCACAGAUCCUGGCAGCAGCUCAGCACUUAGAGAGCCAACUGUUAUUGAACUCAGACAGGGGUGGCUAUGGGAUAGGAUUAUGAUUAGGAUUCAAGUUGGCAGUAAUCAAGAUGCAGUCAUCUUAUGUUUAAUGUGGCUACUUAGUCUGACCACUAAUUUUACCUAUUGACUUGGCUGGGCCAUGGUGCCCAGAUAUUUGGUGAAAUGUUACUCUGAAUAUUUUCGAGAAGGUAUUUUUGAUGAGAUUUAGCAUGUAAGUCAGUGGACUUAGAGGAAAUCAUGUUGCUCUCUAUACUGUGGUUGGGCCUCAUCCAAUUACUUGAAGGCCUUGAUAGAGCAAAGACUAACCUCCGCUGAGCCAGAAGGGGUUCUUCCAGCAGACUGCCUCUGGACUCAAACUGCACCUCUCCCCUGAGUCUCCAGCCUGUUGACCUCCUCCAUCAGAUUUGGACUCCCCAUUCCUUUGUAUUCACAUAGGCCAAUUCCUUAAAAUAAAAGCCUCUCCAUAUAUACAUACACCAUCAUGUUGGUUUUGUUUCUUUGGAGAACCCUGACACUUAGCUUUACCGAAGGACAGAAGAAAGGACAUACAGGGCAUCCAACAUCUCCUUAUUAGGAGGCCAACCACAUAGCUUCUUCAGCCUCCUCAACCACAUGGAGUAUCUAUAGCUGCCCAGGUAGGGAGCCAAGAUGCUUGCAGGUCACCUUGACACAGAGGCCACAGCUUUUGCUUCCCAUCAGCUCUUUAUACUGUGUGAGUCAGGUAGGCCCAAGGCCUGCAAGCCAACUCUCAACAUUUCAUAUUUAUUCUGUAGUUCCAAGGAAACAAGGCAGUGAGAAGAAAGAGGUCAAGGUCAUUCCCAGGUAGGCCUACAUCACCCAGGUCUGAUGUUAACCUUUAUACACAUGAGUAUAAUUCUUGUUGCUGAUUUGUCUUGCUAUUCUUGAGCCUCUACUCAUUACAGUUCAAGUGUGAAGGCAGAACCCAAAGGAAAGCAAAGGAGUCAGUCUUUAGCUUUGGAUACUUAAUAUGAGAUCUCAAGGAAGCCCUUUUGAAAUGGGAAUUAUAGAGGUAAGAAUUUGUACUUCCCAGAGUUGG
rnacentral:lncRNA from 1 species